rnacentral:rRNA from 1 species
AGAGUUUGAUCCUGGCUCAGAACGAACGCUGGCGGCGUGCCUCAGACAUGCAAGUCGAACGCGAAAGUUCCCUUCGGGGGGCGAGUAGAGUGGCGCACGGGUGAGUAACACGUAGGUAAUCUACCUUCGGAUGGGGAAUAACAACCGGAAACGGUUGCUAAUACCGCAUAAUGCAGCGGCACCUAAUGGUGACAGUUGUUAAAGCGGGGGAUCGUAAGACCUCGCGUCUGGAGAGGAGCCUGCGGCGGAUUAGCUAGUUGGUAAGGUAACGGCUUACCAAGGCUAUGAUCCGUAGCCGGCCUGAGAGGGCGGUCGGCCACACUGACACUGACAUACGGGUCAGACUCCUACGGGAGGCAGCAGUCGGGAAUUUUGGGCAAUGGGCGAAAGCCUGACCCAGCAACGCCGCGUGAAGGAUGAAAUCCUUCGGGAUGUAAACUUCGCAAGAACGGGAAGAAUAAGCCGGUAUUAACACCACCGGUGAUGACGGUACUGUUUGUAAGCUCCGGCUAACUCCGUGCCAGCAGCCGCGGUAAUAC